UACGUAGGGUGCGAGCGUUGUCCGGAAUUAUUGGGCGUAAAGAGCUCGUAGGCGGUUUGUCGCGUCGGCCGUGAAAUCUCCACGCUUAACGUGGAGCGUGCGGUCGAUACGGGCAGACUUGAGUUCGGUAGGGGAGACUGGAAUUCCUGGUGUAGCGGUGAAAUGCGCAGAUAUCAGGAGGAACACCGGUGGCGAAGGCGGGUCUCUGGGCCGAUACUGACGAUGAGGAGCGAAAGCGUGGGGAGCGAACAGG
rnacentral:rRNA from 1 species